UCCAGACUCCUACGGGAGGCAGCAGUGGGGGAUAUUGCACAAUGGGGGGAACCCUGAUGCAGCGACGCCGCGUGGGUGAAGGAGCGUUUCGGCGCGUAAAGCCCUCUCGGCAGGGAAGAAGGAGGACGGUACCUGACUAAGAAGCCCCGGCUAACUACGUGCCAGCAGCCGCGGUAAUACGUAGGGGGCAAGCGUUAUCCGGAUUUACUGGGUGUAAAGGGGGCGCAGACGGCAGCGCAAGCCAGGAGUGAAAGCCCGGGGCCCAACCCCGGGACUGCUCUUGGAACUGCGCGGCUGGAGUGCAGGAGGGGCAGGCGGAAUUCCUGGUGUAGCGGUGAAAUGCGUAGAUAUCAGGAGGAACACCGGUGGCGAAGGCGGCCUGCUGGACUGCGACUGACGUUGAGGCCCGAAAGCGUGGGGAGCAAACAGGAUUAGAUACCCGAGUAAG
rnacentral:rRNA from 1 species